AACAAAACCCCGAUCCCUCGAUCGAUCUCCGCCGCCGCCCGAUCGCACGCUCGAACCACCCCUACCCCAUCGGCCCCGUCGGAUCUCGCCGCUGGCGGACGACUCGAGAAGACCCCGCCGGAUCUCGCCCUCGUCGUCAGUUCUGGAUCGCCGCCGCCGCCGAUCCCCUCCGGAAAACAACGCCGAUCCCCUGCUCGCCCACGCACGCUGCCGCGGAUGGAGGCCGCCUGCUCGCGAUCCCCAAACCUGCUGGCGCCGCGCUCCGUAGGAUCCAAGUACGCCCCUCUCCGUGGUGUUCACUGAUUGCUUGGAGCAACAACGUGCUGUUGGAGUUGCCGAAGCAUUAGGUGAUUCGAUUGUGUGCGUUUGCUGGAUUUGUUUGACGAAGGAAUGAUGACAAUGAAGGACACACAGAGGAGUGUGAGCGGUGAUGGUACCAAGGUUACCGGCAGGUAUGCAUGCAGGAACUGACUGUACAGUGUUCCUAUAAUGCUACUGGUUUUAACGUCUGUACUGUGAUGCUACUGGCAGUUUAAAUAAAUCUGCUAUCAUUUGGGAUGUGAGUUGUCACAACUCGCUGUGCUCUGGUGUUCAGCUCAGAAUUUCUUUUGGGAAUGAUUCCUUUGAAUAGACUACUUAUGCUUGACAUUUUACUUUUGUUAUUUCUAUUUGUAACUCAAUUUCGGUAUCCUCUCAAAUUGACAAUACUUUUUCUGGAUAUGGUAGUUGAGAAUAGUUAUGGUAUAUAGCGGAGUUAGCCCAUCCUCACCAAUGACUCUUCCUCAGGGAUUUGCUGAACUAGAGUUAGUAAUGGGGGUAUUGCAAACUGUUUAGAAUUAUGGGGGUAUUGCAGACUUUAGAAACUGAAUUAAAUUUUUGUGCAAUUGAAAAAGGUGUAUACAACUUGAAUUUAUUAGGUAGUAUAGGAGAGAUAUGAAAUUUUAAAAUUGUUAGUCAGAUUUGUGUGUUGUUUUGGGUAGUAUUCAGUUUUGUUCCAUCUUAGAGGCCAAUAAUGCACAUGUGAUAUUAUCUACAUAAUUCAGUUUAUACGGCUUCCCAUAUUCCAAUGGUUGUAUUUUGCUAAAUUGCCAUCUACUUACUGGAAUUCUCACAAAUAGAAGUGCAGUCAGAAGGUAAAAAGGAUGGUAUGGUAUGUCUCCAUUCACAUGGUACUGAACUGUUAGUGAUUCUUUGUGUUAUUCUGCAGACUUGAACUUAGUUUCUAUGGUUUUCUUUUUCUGUUCAUAGAGGAGAGUAUAGUCUGAAGGGAAAAAUUGAUAUGCUCUGAAGGGUGUGCAAGAACAGUGAGAUUUAUAUUACUGAAUGUAUUGUUAACAAUUUGUUAUUUUGCAGACUUGCUCUCAGUUUUUAUUCUUGGCAGGUGAUUCUUCAUGAUAAUUUUUUGUAGAGGAACAUUUUUGCGAUGGGGCCUGGAACGGUGAUCGGUGGUGCUGGUGUCGGCAGUACGGUACAAGGUCAGGAUGCGGGAUGGGACUGCCAUCCGUGUGAGGCAGUCGGCGGCGAGGGUUUGUGGCAUCUCGAGGGGCGACCGUGGAUUCAAGGUGUUGGCCCGAGACCUCCGACGAGGGAGGAGACGAUGUUAGUAUUUCCAUAGGAAAAAAACAAGAGAAGAAGAACAAGAACAACGACGGCAAUCUCGGGUUCCAGGUACGAUGGAGCCGGCGGCGAAGUGCAUGGCGCUCGCAAACAUGAUAGUGGAUGGGGACGAUACCCUCAACUGCGGCAUCUGCUACCUCCCUCUCAAGCCACCAGUCUUCCAGUGUGGCGUCGGUCAUACCAUAUCCUCGCGGUGCCGCGACAAGAUGGUGGCGGCAAGGAGGUGUCGUGUGUGUCACAUCCGGUUGACCGGCGGCUAUCGCUGGAACAUCGCACUGGAGAGGCUAACAGAGUCCAUCCGGGUGCCGUGCGCCAACGCUGCCCACGGCUUCACAGCCACGCCGGCCUACUAUGACCACCCCGACCACCUCAAGGCGUGCCCUCACGACGCCGUGCUAUUGCCCGCAGGCAGACUGCGGUUUCGCUAGCUCCACGGCGGCACUCCUGGACCACUUUGCCGACACGCACGGGUGGCCGUGCAUGACCGAGCUUGGGCCUGGGCGUGUGUCGAGGUCCAGCUCUGUGACGGCUUCAACGCCUUCUCGGCCCGUGCCCAAUGCCGGCAGUACCUGUUCCUGCUGAACGUGGCGUUGAACCCGUUUGGCCGAGCGGUCUCCGUGCUCUCCCUGCAUCCUCGGGCGUUGUCGGCGGCGCCAUGUUCUUUGGAGUUUGAGGUAAGACUCAGGUACUGCUGCAACAUCAACCACUGUGGCGACACCAGGAAACUACGUUUAAAGUAGGGUGCACUGAUCUCUCCGAACUCAGAUUUAUGACAAGGACACAAGCAAAUUUAUAGCAUCCGUUGUGAUGAUACAAGGGAAGUAAGCAUAGAUGCGCUCAACGUGAUGAUAGAUGGGAGAGCUCGGCCUAUACUGCCAACUGAUCUGCAGCGGUGCAGAAGGAGAUUUCAAAAGCAGGGCAAGCGAGAGCGACUGUUCUAUUGAUGGUCAAAGGGAGGGCAUGGCAAGAGAGAUUGAGGGAGCUCUACUACCUCGAUCUUGGCAUAGAACCUGAUGGCAUCAUGCCCA